CAACAGUGCCAAUCUAGGAGGAAAACAUGCCCGCCACAAAGAGUUCAGCACCAAACUCUUCCUUGUGAUGGAACCAUAAUCUAGUCAAAUAACGGGAAGUAAGCCGUGAAGAAAGGAAUCCCCCAAAGGAGGCAGGAGCUUCGAACUCUGGACCUGUCCCCUUCCUCAAUCUCUUCCUUCUCCCCCCUUCAUUUCUGUUUUCCUCUUUCUGCUAAGUGGCAGCAGAUAAGAUCUCAAGUGCUCAAUCUCUAGAACUGGGGUAAGGCUGCCUUGUCAAUCUCAUGCAGAUCCCUUUGGGUCAAGGUCUCAUUUAGUCCUAACUCCUGUAAUUCUCGAAUGUUUAACAACACCCUGCAUGCUACAAGAGCUAGUUCAUGGGCUUGGACACGAAGUCGAAAUUCCUUCAAGAGCUCUAAUCCGCACCAUUUCAUACUAUAUAAUGACUAUGAUUCAUCUUUUCUCCAAUUAUUUUGAAUGAGUCAGUUUUAUCCUAAUAAAAUAAUCUCACAAAAUGAAAUCAUUAAAAGAAAUUCAUAUUUGCAUGCUGUAUUUGAGCUUUCAAAGCAUCAAUAAAUGAGACUUUCAAAAAGUAAGCAUGCCAGCACUUUAAUACCCAAAUGAGAAGUCCUUCCAGUUCAUGAUCUUGUGGAACCAAGCACUCAUCUCACUGAUAUUCUCCCUGUAAACUGGCCUCAGAACCAGCUUCUCUCACUUCACCUUCCACCCAGGCUGGCAGCUACUCCUCCUGAACAUCCACCUUGUUAAUCAGAUUGGAUUCAAAUGAUGAAUUUUUAAAAGAUCAAAUUCAUCUUCCUGAGUUGAGUUCAUUAAAAGUCAUGAGCUCUGGUCUUUGAAGACCUUCUCAAAAAGAAGCUCCCAAAAGUCUGGGGCAAGGACACCAGCACCUAUGUCAUCGGACGAUUUCCCUGGUGGUUGCUUUGUGGCAUCUAAAACUGACUUAGAAAAACACAAGCUGUGGCAUCUGAGAUCACCUCCUCGUCCAUCUUAUACUCUGCUGAUCUGCACGGCGACCCCUAAGACACUGGGAAUUGUUAUUCCCAUUCUGACGGACAAGGAACGUGGGUACAUCCGGGUCAAGAAUUCCAUUGACUGAGGUCACACUGGAUGUUAGUGGGCAGAGAGACGUGACUGCAGCCCUCGCCUGCCUGUGUGUAGCUUGUUUCACUUCGGUAGAACAUUAGCUGACCGGACACAUUUUUGCCACACCGUUUUAGGAAAGGCAUAGGAUUCUGGCUUUCUUAUAAGGUUUUUCCCACCAUGGGAUGGCCUCCAAAGAAUUCCUCCAUUCCAAAACCCUGAAAUUUUGCUUCUACAUGUGCUGGCAGGGUUACCAUUGGGGACUUCCGAAGACUACAGAGUAACCAGAAUAAUCUGGAAGAAACUGUGCUUCCGUGGAGCCCACCUGGCACUUGGAGCCAGCCCUCGGCUCCAGCCUACGGAGCACAUGACGAAUAACUUGAAAAUAACACGCACUAAAACUUGAGUGUGUUCUUCCUGUCCCUUUAGAUUUCCUCAUUGGUGUCCACCACGCUGAGGAGGGAGGGAGAUCUUCCCAAAUGUGUCCCUUCCUCCUGUGAGCUCACAGCCCUCCGGCUCACCGCAGACCACCAGGCUCUGAGAGGGUCGAGGAGCCGACGUCUGGGCCUACGCAGGACAUAAAUUCCUGCCGGUGCAAUUCAAACAACUGUCAGCGCUUCUAACAACUGCCAAGCCAAAGUGCUGUUUGCAGGACUGUGAUGCUGGGAGCCUGGGCAGUGGCUAGGCCUGGGCUGUGUGAACCCAGAGAGAGGCACGACACUGGCCCGCUCACCCAACGCCUGGCCCAGGGCCACCGUGACAGGUGCCUGCCAGGACACCCGGGGAAACGGUGCCUCCUCUUCCAUAGCCCACACUGUUCCAGCAGGGAAUGCUGGCCUGAGAACCCUGCUUGUUGAGAACAAGGACAUCAGGCUCAGAGCAGUCAGGGCUGGGUCAAACAGGAGACAUGACAACCAUGUGCCCCUAAUAUUAAAUAAGAUGUGUUUUCUCUCUCUUUUUCAGAAUUUUCCCUUCAUUUUAGAGAAUUACAGGCACCCCAUAGAUCUCUGAUAGGGAUGAACAGCACACUUAAGUACUUAUAUUAGAUCUUGGUUUUGGCUGGUUCACAAGUUGGAGAAGUGAAUGAACUAAAGUGUCUUUUAAAUGAGAGACAAAUCACACUUUGGAAAAGGAGGGCCAGGCGUGGUGGCUCACACCUGUAAUCCCAGCACUUUGGAAGGCUGAGGUGGGAGGAUCGCUUGAGGCCAGGAGGUGGGAGACCAGCCUGGGCCGCAGAGCAAGACCCCGUCUCUACAAAAAAAUAAAAAUAAAAAAUAAAAAGCCA